UACAGGGGGGGCAAGCGUUGUUCGGAAUUACUGGGCGUAAAGGGCCAGUAGGCGGCCAACUAAGUCACACGUGAAAUCCCCAGGCUUAACCUGGGAACUGCGUGUGAUACUGGAUGGCUUGAAUUCGGGAGAGGGAUGCAGAAUUCCAGGUGUAGCGGUGAAAUGUGUAGAUAUCAGGAGGAACACCAAUUGCGAAGGCAGCUCGCUGGAACGUAACUGACGCUGAGACGCGAAAGCGUGGGGAGCAAACAGG
rnacentral:rRNA from 1 species